GGAAGGAUCAUUAACAAAUCUUAGUGUUGGUGGGGGUGUGUGUAUGUGUGUGGGGGGAUUCCCUCCGCAUCGCCGCAUCCCAUCAAUAUAUCGACCCGAACCCGUGCAGCAAUGCCGGGCGAGGUAUACGCACUCUGAGGCCUUUGCGGGUCGCAGGGUGCGUCAGUGGAACUGAAGCGUGUCGCAAGACAUGCCCAGCUUAGGCGUGUCGCAAGACAUGUCGCCCACACAUGGACGCUUGAUAUGUUUGACAGAUAAGUAUCAUCAAAAAAUGACAACUUUUAACAAUGGAUCUCUUGGCUCUUGCAACGAUGAAGAACGCAGUGAAAUGCGAAACGUAAUGCGAUUUGCACGAAUCUGUGAGUCAUCAAGUCUUUGAACGCACCUUGCACCAUAUGAGCAAUUGUAUGGUAUACCUGUUUGAGAAUCGUAAACCUCAUCGCUUACUUUGUGAGUGGAAGUGUCGGCUUACACGGUGUGUAUCCGAUUAAAUACAGUAGGUUCAACACAGGCUGGUGGCCUGGGACACUGUGUGCUAGAGACUAGCAAGUCGUCAAGACUUGCCCGUCUUCUCACGGUGCGUCCCGGGUCAUUCAAGCUGGCCUGCAGAGGACCUUUAACUGCGCACGGCGUCGUGGUGUGAUGUGUGAGCUGCGUCAAAACAGCUCUCAUCUCCACCCCACGAUAUGCUGUGGCAACCUUUCUCUUUGAUCUCAAAUCAGGUAAGGCUACCCGCUGAACUUAAGCAUAUCAGUAAGCGGAGGAAAAGAAACUAACAAGGAUUCCCCUAGUAACGGCGAGCGAAGCGGGAAGAGUUCAAAUUUAAAAUCUGGGUGGGUCUCCCACUCCGAAUUGUAAUUUAAAGAGGCGCUAUCUGGGCCUAGUCUGGUGCUCAAGUCCCUUGGAAUAGGGCGUCACAGAGGGUGAGAACCCCGUCUGGGCACUGGUGCUAGGUCCUCUAUGAGGCGCUUUCUACGAGUCGAGUUGUUUGGGAAUGCAGCUCAAAAUGGGUGGUAAAUUUCAUCUAAGACUAAAUACUGGCAAGAGACCGAUAGCGAACAAGUACCGUGAGGGAAAGAUGAAAAGCACCUUGAAAAGGGAGUUAAAUAGUGCGUGAAAUUGUUAAAAGGGAAACGAUUGAGACCAGUAUUGCUGCUGGCCGUUCAGCGCCGCACCUUCGGGGACGGCGUGCACUCGGUCGGGGGCGAGUCAGCGUCAGUUUGGGCUCUCGGAAAGAGGUCGGAGGAAGAUGGGACUGGCCUUCGGGUCCGUCUUUUAUAGACUCUGGCUGGCACGAGGAGCCUGGACUGAGGUGUGCGGCUGCAGUACUCACAGCCCGAGCCCGGCCCCCAUGGGCAAGGACUACACGUAGGCCUUGACCGCAAGGGCAGGAGUUAUGGGUUGUGCAUGCAGUUCAAGGAUGCUGACGAAAUGGUCUUAAACGACCCGUCUUGAAACACGGACCAAGGAGUCUAACACAUGUGCGAGUAUUUGGGUGGCAAACCCGGGUGCGGAAUGAAAGUGAUCUGGGUGAGAGCCUUGCCUCCGUGCUUGGUGCAUCAUCGGCCGAACCUUGAUGUCUUCUGAUAGGUUUGAGUAAGAGCAUAUUUGUUGGGACCCGAAAGGUAGUGAACUAUGCCUGGAUAGGAUGAAGCCAGAGGAAACUCUGGUGGAGGUCCGUAGCCGUUCUGACGUGCAAAUCGAUGGUCAAAUCUGGGUAUAGGGGCGAAAGACUAAUCGAACUACCUAGUAGCUGGUUCCCUC
rnacentral:misc_RNA from 1 species